UCCGACAGUGCCAGUAGAGGGCGGCGCUCGAUUCGCCGCUGCCUGCCCUCCCCUGCGCUGCCGGCGCCAUCCACCAUUCCCCUCCGUUGUGUACCCCUCCGCCGGCGCCCUCACUGCUACUCCCACCCACCUCUCCAUGGACGGACGUAGGGAGACAGCCCCAGGGACUCCAGUUUGGCCGCCGCCGAUGACGCACUUCAGUGUCGCCGCUGCCGCCGCCGGUAGCUCCUGCAACAGCAUGCCAACAAAUCCCUGGUCAAUGUAUACCCAUCCACCCGAUUCUUUGCUAAGUUUCAUACAAGUCCACAAACCCCGCCAUUCCCACGAAUGAAUCGUCCAUCCAAUUUUCUUAAUCCCCAACAAGGACAGCCUAGCAUGGAAAAUUUCCAUUUCGUUGGUGUCCCUCCACAAUUGGGUUCAUUUUCGACACCAGCAGCACCACCACCACCACAUACAAAAGGGAUUCCACCAUCUUCUCGAGCUGGUUCAUCCAAAGUGGCUGCAUCGUCUAAAGUUUCUUCCAAAAAGAAAAACUCGUCGUCAACCUUGAUCAGGAUCUCGAGCCUACCCGAACUGCACAAUGUUUGACUUGGACAGCACACGAAGAGACCAGAUUGGCAACGGCUUGGUUGGAGAACUCUUAUGAACCAAUUGAUGGGAAUAACAAGAAGAAUGAGAUACAUUGGGACGAAAUUGCUGCUCACUACAAUAGUAACACACCAAGUCAUCCGAAGAGAGAUGCCACACAACUCAAGCAACAUUUUCACAAGGAAAAGGCGAAGAUCAAUGCUUUCCAUGGAGAAUUUGAAGGGAAACCUUGAAGAUGUCCAAAUGAUCUUUCUUAGUAGGAGUGGUCCGAGGGAGUACAAGAACCGACCUCGUGAAGAAUCUGAUCAGCGGCUGGUCAAUGAUUAUUUCUCCAAGAAUCCUCUCUACAACGACAAAGAUCUCUGCGAAAGAUUCCGGAUGAGAAAAUCCCUAUUUCAACAUAUCGUCGGUGCACUAGGUGAGUGGAAUCCAUAUUUCACCGCAAGAGUGGAUGUUGUUCAGCGCGAAGGACUCUCUCCGCUACAGUAAUGUACAACAUCUAUUCGCCAAUUGGCAUACGGUAGCCCUGCGGACUUGCUCGAUGAAUACAUUAAGAAUGGUCGGAGUACUUCAAUUGAGUGCUUGAAGAUCUUCGCGGAAGGCGUGAUUGCAGUCUUUGGUCCAGAGUAUCCGAGAAGGCCCGAUACUGAAGAUGUCGAGCACCAACUUCAUAUCAAUGAGAGCCGUGGGUUUCCUGGUAUGCUAGGGAGUCUUGAUUGUAUGCAUUGGCAUUGGGAAAAAUGUCCGGUAUCUUGGAGAGGUCAAUUUGUUCACGGGGAUAAGGGUGUGCCUACACUUAUUCUUGAGGCGGUUGCGUCGCAAGAUCUUCGAAUAUGGCAUGCCUUUUUUGGUAUCCCCAGAUCGAACAAUGAUAUCAACGUGCUCAAUCAGUCAUCAUUGUUCA